UACGGAGGGUGCAAACGUUGCUCGGAAUCAUUGGGCGUAAAGGGUGCGUAGGCGGCGCGGUAAGUCGGGUGUGAAAUCUCGGAGCUUAACUCCGAAACUGCAUUCGAUACUGCCGUGCUUGAGGACUGGAGAGGAGACUGGAAUUUACGGUGUAGCGGUGAAAUGCGUAGAUAUCGUAAGGAAGACCGGUGGCGAAGGCGGGUCUCUGGGCCGAUACUGACGCUGAGGAGCGAAAGCGUGGGGAGCAAACAGG
rnacentral:rRNA from 1 species